UAGGCUGGGUGUGUAAGCGUUGUGAGGCGUUGAGCUAACCAGUACUAAUUGCCCGUGAGGCUUGACCAUAUAACACCCAAACA
rnacentral:rRNA from 1 species